AUCCGCCUGGGAAGUACGAACGCAAGUUUAAAACUCAAAGGAAUAGACGGGGACUCGCACAAGCGGUGGAGCAUGUGGUUCAAUUCGACGGUAAACGAAGAACCUUACCGGGGCUUGAAAUCUCAACGAUAAGUCCGCUGAAAAGCGGGCGUCUCACAAGGACGUUGGGACAGGUGUUGCAUGGCUGUCGUCAGUUCGUGGCGUGAGCUGUUCCCUUAAGUGGGGUAACGAACGCAACCCUUGUCUUGUGUUAUAUGUGUCACAAGAGACCGCCCCAGCCCAAAGCGAAUUUAGAAACUAAGUUUCCAUUGGAAACUUAGUUUCUAAAUAAAUUCGUUUUGGGCUGGGGAGGAAGCGAGGAUGACGCCAAGUCAGCAUGACCCUUUGAUGCCCCGGGCUACACACGUGCUACAAUGCUUUCUACAAUGAGUCGCGAAACCGUAAGGCGGAGCCAAUCUCAUCAAAAGAAAGCCCAGUUCAGAUUGAGGUCUGCAACUCGACCUCAUGAAGACGGAAUCGCUAGUAAUCGCAGGUCAGCUAUACUGCGGUGAAUACGUUCUCGAGUCUUGUACUCACCGCCCGUCAACUCAAGGAAGUCUUGAAUACCCGAAGGCCUCGCUAAGCGGGGGAUAAGGUAAUUGAGAUGACAGGGAGUAAGUCGUAACAAGGCACGGCUAGCGGAAGCUG
rnacentral:rRNA from 1 species